CAGGUAGUUGGUGAGGUAACGGCUCACCAAGCCAACGACGGGUAGGGGGCCUGAGAGGGUGGUCCCCCACACUGGGACUGACAAACGGCCCAGACUCCUACGGGAGGCAGCAGUAAGGGAUAUUGCACAAUGGGCGCAAGCCUGAUGCAGCAACGCCGCGUGCAGGAUGACGGCCUUCGGGUUGUAAACUGCUUUUCCGGGUGACGAGGAAGGACGGUAGCCCGGGAAGAAGUCACGGCUAACUACGUGCCAGCAGCCGCGGUAAAACGUAGGUGGCAAGCGUUAUCCGGAUUUACUGGGCGUAAAGCGUGUGCAGAUGGAUUGCCAAGUGAUGUAUGAAAGCGGCCGGCUCAACCGGUCAAGGGUAUGUCAGACUGGCAGUCUAGAGAGUGAGAGAGGGUUGUGGAAUUCCGGGUGUAGUGGUGAAAUGCGUAGAGAUCCGGAGGAACACCAGAGGCGAAGGCGGCAACCUGGCUCAUAUCUGACAUUCCGACACGACAGCAUGGGGAGCGAACGGGAUUAAAAACCCCG
rnacentral:rRNA from 1 species